GACGAACGCUGGCGGCGUGCUUAACACAUGCCAGUCGAACGGAAAGGCCCUGCUUGCAGGGUACUCGAGUGGCGAACAGGUGAGUAACACGUGGGUGAUCUGCCCUGCACUUCGGGAUAAGCCUGGGAAACUGGGUCUAAUACCGGAUAGGAGCCAUUUUUAGUGUGAUGGUUGGAAAGUUUUUUCGGUGUAGGAUGAGCUCGCGGCCUAUCAGCUUGUUGGUGGGGUAAUGGCCUACCAAGGCGGCGAAGGGUAGCCGGCCUGGGAGGGUGGACGGCCAAAUUGGGACUGAGAAACGGCCCAGAAUCCUACGGGAGGCAGCAGUGGGGAAUAUUGCACAAUGGGCGCAAGCCUGAUGCAGCGACGCCGCGUGGGGGAUGACGGCCUUCGGGUUGUAAACUCCUUUCGCUAGGGACGAAGCUUUUUGUGACGGUACCUAGAUAAGAAGCACCGGCUAACUACGUG
rnacentral:rRNA from 1 species